GAUGAACGCUGGCGGCGUGCUUAACACAUGCGAGUCGAACGAAGCAUUUAGGACAGAUUACUUCGGUUUGAAGUUCUUUAUGACUGAGUGGCGGACGGGUGAGUAACGCGUGGGUAACCUGCCUUGUACUGGGGGAUAGCAGCUGGAAACGGCUGGUAAUACCGCAUAAGCGCACAAUGUUGCAUGACAUGGUGUGAAAAACUCCGGUGGUAUAAGAUGGACCCGCGUCUGAUUAGCUAGUUGGUGAGAUAACAGCCCACCAAGGCGACGAUCAGUAGCCGACCUGAGAGGGUGACCGGCCACAUUGGGACUGAGACACGGCCCAGACUCCUACGGGAGGCAGCAGUGGGGAAUAUUGCACAAUGGAGGAAACUCUGAUGCAGCGACGCCGCGUGAGUGAAGAAGUAAUUCGUUAUGUAAAGCUCUAUCAGCAGGGAAGAUAGUGACGGUACCUGACGAAGAAGCGCCGGCUAAAUACGUG
rnacentral:rRNA from 1 species